rnacentral:lncRNA from 1 species
GUAUUUGACUUUCUCUAGUUCAUGAUUUCAGGAAAGGUUAUUGAACAAAUAAAAGAAAAGCUUUUACUAUCUGAUCAGGACCUACAUACUAGUAAGUUGGAGCAAGGCUUAUGGUUUAUAACAAUAGACAACUUUUGAAAACCAGUCCAGGUAAAUUUUCAAUUACUUUGAUAUAGAAUUACAUAUUGUUGAUGUUGUGAUCUUGGUAUUGUUGGUUGCAUUUAAUGUCUUUUAAUUCAAACAGUUACAUGUAUGUUAUAAAGUUAAGAUAAUCACAUAAAAUUAGGGGUUAUAAGGCUCAUGCUUCCACUGCUGGCACUAUUAUAGUUGAUAUUUUUUUGGAUAUUGUGGUGUAGAGCAAAAACACUAUACGGUCUGCUUCUACCUUUUGUAUAAUUGCAACAAUGUAAAAAAACCCUCUAAUUUAAGAAGACUAAGUUUUUUUCCUCUGUGAGUGUCUAUGAUUUGUUGUAGCUGACAGGUGGUUUGCAGAAGUAUAGUUCCGAAAUAGGAAAUUGAUCUUUUACUCUUAAUUCUUAAGAUUCUUUUAUUGGUGGUUGUAAGACUCAUAUCUCCACUAUAGUAUGGAGUGCAAUAUAGUUAUGUUGAUGGUAUGAGUGAAACUUAAUAAUGUGUGAAAUGGAGAAGUUGUGAUGCAAUAUGAAUUUUGUGUUAGUGUGUGUUGGUGUUAGAGUAGAGAAACCUACUAGUUUAGUAUUCUCAUAUGAGAAGAAGGAUAGCAAAUGUCUAAAAUAUAUAGUUUAGUAUACUCUAUUGUUGUGUCUCUUUGGAAGGGAGUGGCUUUGAAAUUACUACCUCAGUGUUUGACAUAUAUAGUUUAAUUAAUUAUUGAACAUAUUUCUUUUAUUUUGUAGAUGAAUGGCUAAUGAUGAUAUCGAUGAAGAAUUUCAAGAUUUAGAAGUACAAGAGAUGAAGACAGAUGUUUAUGUUCAAGUGUACGUUAUUUGGAUUGUGAAAAUGAUAAUUGACAUUUUGAGUUAACAAUACCCAAUUAAAUAUUCGAAUACUUUAUUGUGAUCAAUGUUAUUUUGAUACAUAUAUGAAUGAUAUAUUAUUGACAAGUAGUUGGUAUGUAAUUUUGAAUUUAG